AGACGUUGCUCCCUCGUCGUGGUAGAUGCCACCGACGUAGCGCUCUCCACACAACACCAUAAACCUAGCGGCUCGGAGUUCUCCGCUCCUCCGUGGCCUCCAUGAAAAAUCCGGGCACCAAACCCUAGCACGUCGCCGCUUCCACAGCCCCGCCACACCUCGACCCUCAUGCUGCUCGUCUCCAACCAUGGCGAGCCACGGCUCGUGCCGUCCGUUGAAUCCUCUCGUGGGGUCUACAAAUGAAGCUCUCCCAACAAGAGACUGCACACUGCGCGGCUCUUACUGCAAUACGAGAUACUGUACUACUGUGGAUGGUCGAGAAGCGAGCAGAGCUUGACGGUCGUUCGCCGUUGGAACGUUCGUGUGGGCGACACUGAUGGCAUGAUGCAUCUGUCAGCAAGAUCUCUAGUUUUUUCACGCUGUUGAAUCGACAGGUAUAGCAGACAAAUACAGAAAAAGGGCUGGCCUGGUUAAAAAACGGUUCAGGUUAGCAAGCAGUCUGGCCCGGUUCACAAUCGAAAAAGGGCCCGUAUCGAGAAGUUAGCUUCACGUUUGAGAGAAGGUGUAUGCUCUGCUUCCAAUCCAGUUAUUAGCUGCAGCUUCUCCUUGUGUCGUGUGUGGAAUGUUUGCUUCAGUACAUUAACUUUCUUUCUUCU